rnacentral:rRNA from 1 species
UGGAUUAGGCAUCCAAGUCGAACGAGGGAGUGUUUCGAAAGGGACACAAACCGAGUGGCGUAAGGGCGAGUAAUGCAUUGAUAACCUGCCUUUGGGAUGGGGAUAACAACGUCUCGCAAGAGACUUCCGAAAGGGUUGCUAAUACCCAAUAAGACUGUUGGUGCGGAGGUACUGAGAGUCAAAGGUCUGGAGUGAAAGCUCCAUUUGCUCAGAGAGGGGUCAAUGUCCUAUCAGCUAGUUGGUAGGGUAAAGGCCUACCAAGGCGAAGACGGGUAGCCGGCCUGAGAGGGUGGUCGGCCGCAUUGGGACUGAGACACUGCCCAGACUCCUACGGGAGGCUGCAGUCGAGAAUCUUUCGCAAUGCCCGCAAGGGUGACGAAGCGACGCCGCGUGUGGGAAGAAGGCCUUCGGGUUGUAAACCACUGUCGGGAGUUAAGAAGGUGUACGGGUAAAUAGUCCGUGCAUUUGACAAAAGCUCCGGAGGAAGCCACGGCUAACUCUGUGCCAGCAGCCGCGGUAAUACAGAGGUGGCAAGCGUUGUUCGGAAUUAUUGGGCGUAAAGAGCACGUAGCGGCCCUGCAAGUCAGCUGUGAAAGCCUCCUGCUUAACGGGAGAAGUGCAGUUGAAACUAC